rnacentral:rRNA from 1 species
AUGUGGUUCAGGUCAGCCUUGGUAUAUCGUGUCUUCACCAUGGCCCUGGCUUCCCUCGCACCUUGUCGGCAGGCUGAUAUCUUCCAUAAUCGGAAGCGCCGCCGCGCUCCCUUGAGCUUCUCUAUAAGCUCCCCCAGGCCUCCUGGCGGGGAGGCGGAUGGCCACAAGGCUUGGGCAAUGCCCUGCAUCACCUGCCGAACUUGUUCGGGCAGUUGUGAGAGCUCUGGCAGAAGAUCACCUGCAGACCCGGGCAUUUCCUCUGCGGGACGACCCGUUAGCAUACCUACAGAUAUAACUUUGUUAGCCGGUUUCUUCGCCAAACUCAAUAAAAAGUUCGUUCAAGCACUUACUAAAACUGCCGCGUCGAAGCCUCUUAUUCUCCUUUACGGAGUCAGCAAGUUGGGCCCGAACAUCUUUCAGUUCAACACUCAGCCGGAUAUUGGCAUCUUGGAGAUCUUUUUCUCCCGCCUAACCUGCUUAAGCACGCGCUCGCCAGCCUUUAACUGUGGUUGA